CGUGAGCAAUCUGCCUUGGAGUGGGGAAUAACGGUUGGAAACAGCCGCUAAUACCGCAUGAUACAGCUAUCCCGCAUGGGGUUGGCUGUCAAAGAUUUAUCGCUCUGAGAUGAGCUCGCGUCUGAUUAGCUUGUUGGCGGGGUAACGGCCCACCAAGGCAACGAUCAGUAGCCGGACUGAGAGGUUGGCCGGCCACAUUGGGACUGAGACACGGCCCAGACUCCUACGGAAGGCAGCAG
rnacentral:rRNA from 1 species